UACGUAGGGUGCAAGCGUUGUCCGGAAUUAUUGGGCGUAAAGAGCUCGUAGGCGGUCUGUCGCGUCUGCUGUGAAAACUCAGGGCUUAACCCUGAGCUUGCAGUGGGUACGGGCAGACUAGAGUGCGGUAGGGGAGACUGGAAUUCCAGGUGUAGCGGUGAAAUGCGUAGAUAUCUGGAGGAACACCGGUGGCGAAGGCGGCAUCCUGGACCAAUUCUGACACUGAGGAGCGAAAGCCAGGGGAGCAAACGGG
rnacentral:rRNA from 1 species